rnacentral:rRNA from 1 species
UACAGAGGGUGCGAGCGUUGUCCGGAAUCACUGGGCGUAAAGGGCGCGUAGGUGGCGGGAUAAGCGUGUGGUGAAAGCCCGGGGCUCAACCCCGUGUCUGCCAUGCGGACUGUCUUGCUCGAGCGUAGUAGAGGCAGGUGGAAUUCCCGGUGUAGCAGUGAAAUGCGUAGAGAUCGGGAGGAACACCAGUGGCGAAGGCGGCCUUCUGGACCAGUACUGACGCUCAUGCACGAAAGCGUGGGGAGCAAACAGG